rnacentral:rRNA from 1 species
UACGGAGGUGGCGAGCGUUGUCCGAAGUUAUUGGGCGUAAAGCGCGCGCAGGCGGUCCUUUAAGUCUGAUGUGAAAGCCCACGGCUCAACCGUGGAGGGUCAUUGGAAACUGGGGGACUUGAGUGCAGAAGAGGAAAGCGGAAUUCCACGUGUAGCGGUGAAAUGCGUAGAGAUGUGGAGGAACACCAGUGGCGAAGGCGGCUUUCUGGUCUGUAACUGACGCUGAGGCGCGAAAGCGUGGGGAGCAAACAGG